GGUUUAACGCCAUUUGUGACACUCUUCCAUUGGGAUCUUCCCCAAACUUUAGAAGAUGAAUAUGGUGGUUUCUUAAGCCCUCAUAUUGUCAAUCAUUUUCAAGAUUACGCAGAACUUUGUUAUAAGGAAUUUGGUGAUCGAGUAAA